UCAUAAUACCACAUCGUGGACCUGGAAAUACUACAUUUGCCCAAUGCUUCGGAUUUGCAUGCAGGAGAAAAGUUCUACUCCCUGGAGCAUCUAAUGUAAGCUUGCUAAUUAAUUUGUGGAAAACAUUCAGCCUUAGAGUAUAAGCAGCAGCAUUUAGUAAAUCGAGCAGCCUCUUUCUCUCACUUGCACAAUAAUGGACAAGCACCUGCAUUAACAAUAAUAAAAGGAUGAGAUCAUCAACAUCCUAAAUUAGUUAGAUAUAUUGUAUGCUGAAAAUUAAAAAUAUGACUAUACAUACCUGAUUCUUGAAGUUGUCUUUCACAUAACGGAAACAAUAUGAGUGGCAACUACCAGAAAAGUACUUCGGCACUGAUUUAAUAAUUCCUUGAUGUCUAUCCGUCAUAAAUGUGAUUUGCUCACUUCGCCACUCAAUGCAACUAUGAAUUGCUUCUUUCAAAUUCCGACAAAACCAGUCCCAAUUGUCAUCAGUCUCCGUAUCGACCACACCGUAAGCAAUAGGAAACAUAUCGUCGUUCGCAUCUUUGGAAGUCGCGCCAAGAACUACUCCUCCAUCCUUAUGCUUUAUAAAUGUUCCAUCCAUAAAAAUCA
rnacentral:lncRNA from 1 species